CACACGACUCUCGGCAACGGAUAUCUCGGCUCUCGCAUCGAUGAAGAACGUAGCGAAAUGCGAUACCUGGUGUGAAUUGCAGAAUCCCGCGAACCAUCGAGUCUUUGAACGCAAGUUGCGCCCGAGGCCUUUCGGCCGAGGGCACGCCUGCCUGGGCGUCACGC
rnacentral:rRNA from 1 species